rnacentral:lncRNA from 1 species
AGAUCGAGGGUUGGUGUGACCCGAACCUUGGAGAUGUGGAGGAAACUAGCUCCGGGGUCUCCAAGCUCCAAAUCCUUGAUCCAAGCUUAAAACUCUUCAAAACCAAGAAUAAAACUCAUGAAAACCAUAGAAGAUUGAAGGAAAACGUGAAAUCGACCAAGGGAGGACAUGAACUCACCUGGGCACGAGAAUGGGGAGAAAACUCGCCCAUUUUCGGUCUGAGGCCUUUUAUAGGCGACCGGCUGAGCCUCAUUCGGCGGCCAAACCAGCACCCUAAAGUCCCCCAUGUUCGGCGG